CGGAGGGAUCAUUACCGAGUUUACAACUCCCAAACCCCUGUGAACAUACCAAUUGUUGCCUCGGCGGAUCAGCCCGCUCCCGGUAAAACGGGACGGCCCGCCAGAGGACCCCUAAACUCUGUUUCUAUAUGUAACUUCUGAGUAAAACCAUAAAUAAAUCAAAACUUUCAACAACGGAUCUCUUGGUUCUGGCAUCGAUGAAGAACGCAGCAAAAUGCGAUAAGUAAUGUGAAUUGCAGAAUUCAGUGAAUCAUCGAAUCUUUGAACGCACAUUGCGCCCGCCAGUAUUCUGGCGGGCAUGCCUGUUCGAGCGUCAUUUCAACCCUCAAGCCCCCGGGUUUGGUGUUGGGGAUCGGCGAGCCCUUGCGGCAAGCCGGCCCCGAAAUCUAGUGGCGGUCUCGCUGCAGCUUCCAUUGCGUAGUAGUAAAACCCUCGCAACUGGUACGCGGCGCGGCCAAGCCGUUAAACCCCCAACUUCUGAAUGUUGACCUCGGAUCAGGUAGGAAUACCCGCUGAACUUAAGCAUAUCAAUAAGCGGAGGAAAAGAAACCAACAGGGAUUGCCCUAGUAACGGCGAGUGAAGCGGCAACAGCUCAAAUUUGAAAUCUGGCUCUCGGGCCCGAGUUGUAAUUUGUAGAGGAUACUUUUGAUGCGGUGCCUUCCGAGUUCCCUGGAACGGGACGCCAUAGAGGGUGAGAGCCCCGUCUGGUUGGAUGCCAAAUCUCUGUAAAGUUCCUUCGACGAGUCGAGUAGUUUGGGAAUGCUGCUCUAAAUGGGA
rnacentral:rRNA from 1 species